GGUUGUGUGGUGUAACGGUUAGCACAUGAGAUUUUGAUUCUCGGGACCAGGGUUCGACUCCCUGCACGACCU
rnacentral:tRNA from 1 species